rnacentral:rRNA from 1 species
GAUGAACGCUGGCGGCGUGCCUAAUACAUGCAAGUCGAGCGGGAGAAUCAUCCUCCGGGAUGAGGAUCCAGCGGCGAACGGGUGAGUAACACGUGGGCAACCUGCCCGCAAGACCGGGAUAACUCCGGGAAACCGGGGCUAAUACCGGAUAGGCCUUUUCCCUGCAUGGGGAAAAGGGGAAAGGCGGCUUCGGCUGUCACUUGCGGAUGGGCCCGCGGCGCAUUAGCUGGUUGGUGAGGUAACGGCUCACCAAGGCGACGAUACGUAGCCGACCUGAGAGGGUGAUCGGCCACACUGGGACUGAGACACGGCCCAGACUCCUACGGGAGGCAGCAGUAGGGAAUCUUCCACAAUGGACGAAAGUCUGAUGGAGCAACGCCGCGUGAGUGAAGAAGGACUUCGGUUCGUAAAACUCUGUUGCAAGGGAAGAACAAGUAGCGUAGUAACUGGCGCUACCUUGACGGUACCUUGUUAGAAAGCCACGGCUAACUAC